UCUCCACUCCGGAGAAGAAACGUCUGUGGUCCUCGUCAGGAUAUACUUUCAGUGGUGGCGUUUGGUGGGGGCCGAAUGGUAACCCUUGCCUCCCCAAACAUUGUUUUGCUCACUUUGCAAAGUUGACACAUGGGUGGAAGCUUUCCCUGCCUCGAAAUUAACAGCUGGAGUAGUAGCGAAAGCACUGCUCACCGAAAUUAUUCCGAGAUGGGGAAUCCCGAGCAGAUUGUCCAGCGACAACGGGACACAUUUUGUCAACCAAGCCAUUCAAGAAGAAACAGGUAGCUGCAGCUGUCCCACACACAGCUGAGAGCCAGCUACACAGGAUUCAGCCAGGUGACUACGUGGUGGUAAAGGACUUCAGGAGAAAGAACUGGAGGUCCAGACGGUGGCAGGGACCGUUCCAAGUGCUUCUGGUCACCCCAACGGCUGUGAAGGUGGUAGAGAGAGCAACUUGGAUUCACGCCAGCCACCGCAAAAGGGUUCCGCUCCCCACAGAGCCACCCUUGACCAUCCGAGAGUAAAGGUUGUCGUCACCACAGUGAAUGAUGAGGACGUCAGCUGCUGCUCUUCCUCACGGAGUGGAA